CCGAGGAUUCUAAGUCCAGUCGGCGGCAAUCACCGAAAAAUUUCUGCGGAAGACCGUCCCUGUGCCCGUCCAAUUACUUGCCGGAAAAGCUUCGCUGGCGUCGGAGGUAAGCCUCCUCCCCUUCCUCUCUUCUCCCCUUUCCUUCUCGUGCCAAUGUGCACGCUCGCCGGCGACCGGAGUCGCCGGAUUUUGUUGCGGAAGAACCUUUCUUUUUGCCAUUUUUCUGACGUCGGUGGUCACCGCCGACCACCGAUUUUGGCGCUCUUCUCAUCGUUGGGUCGCUCCCCUCCUACCGACGGCCGCCCCACGCCGACUGCACUACUGGUCAGAACACCAACGAGGGGACCUCACGGUCCCUGUUUCGGCCCAAAAGAAACCCAUAGAAAAAGAAGAACAAAAGAAGAAGAAGGAAAAGAAA
rnacentral:lncRNA from 1 species